GACGUCUUCUUUUCCUCCCCCACCAUGUCUUCUGCUUCUCCACCGGCUGAUGCUGUCGUCGCCUCAUGCUGCACACGUCGUUGACACUCACAGGCCCGCACACACAUGGAGGGAGUGCUCCAUCUCUCGUUUUUGCCGCUUA
ensembl:ncRNA K02A11.9 ncRNA